rnacentral:rRNA from 1 species
UAGGGAAUAUUGCAAAAUGGGCGAAAGCCCGAUGCAGCAACGCCGCGUGGGCGAUGAAGGCCUUCGGGUCGUAAAGCCCUUUUUGAGGGGAUGAGGAAGGACAGUACCCUCAGAAUAAGCCUCGGCUAACUACGUGCCAGCAGCCGCGGUAAAACGUAGGAGGCGAGCGUUAUCCGGAUUUACUGGGCGUAAAGCGCGUGCAGGCGGAUUGGCGAGUUGGAUGUGAAAGCUCCCGGCUUAACUGGGAGAGGUCGUUCAAUACUUCCAGUCUUGAGUGCAGUAGAGGGAAGUGGAAUUCCGGGUGUAGUGUUGAAAUGCGUAGAUAUCCGGAGGAACACCAGUGGCGAAAGCGGCUUCCUGGACUGUAACUGACGCUCAGACGCGAAAGCUAGGGUAGCAAACG